rnacentral:rRNA from 1 species
AGAGUUUGAUCCUGGCUCAGAACGAACGCUGGCGGCAGGCUUAACACAUGCAAGUCGAACGCAUCCUUCGGGGUGAGUGGCAGACGGGUGAGUAACGCGUGGGAACAUGCCCUUCAGUUCGGAAUAACCCAGGGAAACUUGGGCUAAUACCGGAUACGUGCGAGAGCAGAAAGAUUUAUCGCUGAAGGAGUGGCCCGCGUCUGAUUAGCUAGUUGGUGAGGUAAAGGCUCACCAAGGCGACGAUCAGUAGCUGGUCUGAGAGGAUGAUCAGCCACACUGGGACUGAGACACGGCCCAGGCUCCUACGGGAGGCAGCAGUGGGGAAUAUUGGACAAUGGGCGCAAGCCUGAUCCAGCCAUGCCGCGUGAGUGAUGAAGGCCCUAGGGUUGUAAAGCUCUUUCGGCGGGGAAGAUAAUGACGGUACCCGCAGAAGAAGCCCCGGCUAACUUCGUGCCAGCAGCGGCGGUAAUAC